CCGGAUUUACUGGGUGUAAAGGGAGCGUAGACGGCAUGGCAAGUCAGAUGUGAAAGCCCGGGGCUCAACCCCGGGACUGCAUUUGAAACUGUUCAGCUGGAGUGCAGGAGAGGUAAGUGGAAUUCCUAGUGUAGCGGUGAAAUGCGUAGAUAUUAGGAGGAACACCAGUGGCGAAGGCGGCUUACUGGACUGUAACUGACGUUGAGGCUCGAAAGCGUGGGGAGCAAACAGGAUUAGAUACCCUG
rnacentral:rRNA from 1 species